AUGUAUGAACGAUCUUUUUUCAGUCUGAUUUGCAUGCCACAGCAAGACCUUCAUGUGGAGAUCUGCAUGAGAAGGAAAAAUAAUGGUGGGUGGAAGAGAAGACAGGAACAACGUGAACUAUAUUUACAUUCUUGGGAAAAGGGGGGCCUGGCAGCUCCUGCCCGUGUGUGCCGUGAAGCAGUGAAGAAGGGCCCUUGCCCCAAGGACCACGCCUCAGCUAAGAGACCAGAGAGAAUGGGUGGGUGCCAGGAACAGAGGACAACAGAAGGAAACGAUGACCGUGCCUCCACAGUUUGGCAAAAGCAGUCUCCAAAGCAGCUGUAAGAAAGGCAUCCUUUGUCCUUCACUCACACAGCCGUGGCCAGACUGUCGGAGGGGGCCCUGGUCAUCCGCUAGCCGUGCUCACGGUCACCGGGCGAAGCGUGCCCUGGAGAGGGCUUGCAGCCGAGACACUGCGCUCAAAGCGAUUGCCAUGCACGCCACAUCAGCGCCUCACAGACAUAUGCUAGCAUUUGUGGUACUGUCAAAAUACGCUUUCGAGCCUGUUUCAGCAGCAAGCCUGCUUAGACUCCGUGCCAGGAAAUGUUAAUUACUGUGGUACAAUCUUCUGUUUUGUGUGGUGCAAUAACAAUUAAUUUAUACCAUUUGGAAAACACUUACACAUUUUUAUUAAAAAUCAAUAAAAGCAAGUCAAUACAGUGUAAAGUAUACA
rnacentral:lncRNA from 1 species